AAAUUGAAGAGUUUGAUCAUGGCUCAGAUUGAACGCUGGCGGCAGGCCUAACACAUGCAAGUCGAACGGUAACAGGAAGCAGCUUGCUGCUUUGCUGACGAGUGGCGGACGGGUGAGUAAUGUCUGGGAAACUGCCUGAUGGAGGGGGAUAACUACUGGAAACGGUGGCUAAUACCGCAUAACGUCGCAAGACCAAAGAGGGGGACCUUCGGGCCUCUUGCCAUCAGAUGUGCCCAGAUGGGAUUAGCUAGUUGGUGAGGUAACGGCUCACCAAGGCGACGAUCCCUAGCUGGUCUGAGAGGAUGACCAGCCACACUGGAACUGAGACACGGUCCAGACUCCUACGGGAGGCAGCAGUGGGGAAUAUUGCACAAUGGGCGCAAGCCUGAUGCAGCCAUGCCGCGUGUAUGAAGAAGGCCUUCGGGUUGUAAAGUACUUUCAGCGGGGAGGAAGGUGUUGUGGUUAAUAACCACAGCAAUUGACGUUACCCGCAGAAGAAGCACCGGCUAACUCCGUGCCAGCAGCCGCGGUAAUACGGAGGGUGCAAGCGUUAAUCGGAAUUACUGGGCGUAAAGCGCACGCAGGCGGUCUGUCAAGUCGGAUGUGAAAUCCCCGGGCUCAACCUGGGAACUGCAUUCGAAACUGGCAGGCUUGAGUCUUGUAGAGGGGGGUAGAAUUCCAGGUGUAGCGGUGAAAUGCGUAGAGAUCUGGAGGAAUACCGGUGGCGAAGGCGGCCCCCUGGACAAAGACUGACGCUCAGGUGCGAAAGCGUGGGGAGCAAACAGGAUUAGAUACCCUGGUAGUCCACGCCGUAAACGAUGUCUACUUGGAGGUUGUGCCCUUGAGGCGUGGCUUCCGGAGCUAACGCGUUAAGUAGACCGCCUGGGGAGUACGGCCGCAAGGUUAAAACUCAAAUGAAUUGACGGGGGCCCGCACAAGCGGUGGAGCAUGUGGUUUAAUUCGAUGCAACGCGAAGAACCUUACCUGGUCUUGACAUCCACGGAAGAAUUCAGAGAUGGAUUUGUGCCUUCGGGAACCGUGAGACAGGUGCUGCAUGGCUGUCGUCAGCUCGUGUUGUGAAAUGUUGGGUUAAGUCCCGCAACGAGCGCAACCCUUAUCCUUUGUUGCCAGCGGUCCGGCCGGGAACUCAAAGGAGACUGCCAGUGAUAAACUGGAGGAAGGUGGGGAUGACGUCAAGUCAUCAUGGCCCUUACGACCAGGGCUACACACGUGCUACAAUGGCGCAUACAAAGAGAAGCGACCUCGCGAGAGCAAGCGGACCUCAUAAAGUGCGUCGUAGUCCGGAUUGGAGUCUGCAACUCGACUCCAUGAAGUCGGAAUCGCUAGUAAUCGUGGAUCAGAAUGCCACGGUGAAUACGUUCCCGGGCCUUGUACACACCGCCCGUCACACCAUGGGAGUGGGUUGCAAAAGAAGUAGGUAGCUUAACCUUCGGGAGGGCGCUUACCACUUUGUGAUUCAUGACUGGGGUGAAGUCGUAACAAGGUAACCGUAGGGGAACCUGCGGUUGGAUCACCUCCUUACCUUAAAGAAGC
rnacentral:rRNA from 1 species